AAGUGAUGAUGUUGAAGGGCGUGCCAAGAUGCGUUGUUCAACGGAGCUUUCAGGAGGGGUUGCACAGUGAAACCUCAACUUGGCUAAAGCAUUUGCUGAAAGAAAAUGUGCGUA
rnacentral:sRNA from 12 species